UCCGUGGCCCCUGAUGCGGAGCUG
rnacentral:miRNA from 1 species